AAAAACCGAAAUGAACUUUUGG
rnacentral:miRNA from 1 species